rnacentral:tRNA from 1 species
GGGCCUGUAGUCUAGCGGCCAACGACACACAUUCGUUGACACUGUAGGGGUUUCGCCUAUCGGCUCAAGCCCCUCGUCCGCAGAUGAUGUCGCCUUCACACGGCGAAGGUCGCCGGUUCAAGUCCGGCCAGGCCCA